rnacentral:lncRNA from 1 species
UGGACUUGUGAGGUGCCCUCUUUGCUUGAGAGGCCACUCUGUCCAUACACCCUGGGGUGUGGUAACUGAGGGGUGUCCCCAGUCAUGUUGGGAGGAAAGCAGACAGACCACAGAGUUCUGUACUGGACACAGUCUGUACAGUGCCUGACUCACAGCACUGGAGGAUUGUCCAUCCUUGUUCCCAGAGAGGGGCUAGGCCAGCCAAACCCCUCACUUCAUACUCUGACAAUGGAUCGAAGGGGCCUGGAGCAAACUGCAAUACCCCUGUCCGUGGACAUCUCCAUGUUCUGUGAGGAACCCGGUAUGAACAUGGAUGUCACAGUGAGCUCCAGGCCUUCGACUUUUGGCUGGGUCCUCCAGCGCUUCAGCAUGCACACAGACCUUUCCCAUUCUUCCACCGCUGACUCUACAGGUGGCCAUUGUUCAUUGCAGCAGUUGAUUCACAUCCUCCAACCCUGCUUUGUGUAAUAUGUGUCAAUCAGCUAUUCAAUAAAGCCAUGAAAUUGCCAAAACUGUUUCACCAUAUGGAGACCAAGCAUCCUGGAUCAAAAGACAAGCCUUGGCAUUUUUAUUUUUUAAAGAAAAAAAUGUGAACACAAAGAAAAAAGGCAAGUAUUGGUGACCACCACUUCAUCACAUGUAUCUGCACUGAAAGGGCCAUUCUCUGUGGGUAAUCCCAUUGCUAAAGCUAAGAAGCCUUUGUUAUUGGUGAAGAGUUGGUUUUUCUGGCUGCUGAGGACAUUUGUCACGAACAUUUAGGAGAAGCUGCAGUUCAAAAGGUGGCAUGAGUUCUUCUUUCAGCUAGAAAUAUAGAUGGAUAAGUUGAUAAAAUAGCAGAGGAUGUCGAGGCACAAUUGAUGGAGAGGAUUAAGGAGGUACUGUGGUGUGCAAUAGAGGUUGACAAGUCUACCAAUGUUUACAACAAGGCAACGAUGCUGUUUUUGUGUAAUUUAUUUUUCAGGAAGAUGGGCAUGAGGAUAAGUAAGCUAUGUGAGGUUUUGUGAACAACAAGUACUACAGCCCCAAACCACUGUGUUCAAUAUUUGGAUGAUGACAUGUCAGAAAAGCUGAAGUGCUCAUCUUGUUUCAGAUAGAGUGGCCACCAUGAUUAGAUAGCUUUCUGGUUUUACUACUUGAAUCAAAGAGGUCACUUUUGAAAGUCUAUGCACUGUAUCAUUCUUAUGGAAAUGCUGGUUAGCCACGAAAUGUUACCUGAAUGUAACAAUGUUUUGCAAAGUGCGAUUAAAAUGAUCAACCACAUUAAAGCACAUGCCCUUACUUUAUUCUCUUCACAGAGCUCUGUAAGGAGAUAGACACAGAACACACAUAUUUUCUCUUAUAUAGAGUUGAGAUGGCUUUCCAAAGGCCAGAAUUUUUUACUUAUGAGAGCUACUGCAGAGAUUUCUUUUAGAAAAAUAGCCUCCAUUUGCAGCACAUUGCAAUGGCCCAGAAUGGGUUGAAAAUUUGCUUACUCAUGUGAUUGUGUGACAUAUUCAUCCUGCCCAACAAAUUCAACCUAUCACUUCAGGAGACAAUUACAACUCUGUUCAAAUUGGUAGAUAAGGUGGCUGUAUUGAAAGACAAACUGGAAUUAUAGGAGCAGUGAAAGAACAUAGGGAUUUUUGAUAUGUUUCAAAUAUUAGCACAGAUUUUGAAGAGACUAAGCCAGAGUUUCCUUACUCCUAGCUGGUGCAUGAUCAACUAUCUCAGCUUUUGAGAGUUUGAGUUUAUUUCCCAACCACAAAAGGCCCCCAAACUGGAAAGGAAUGAACACAUAACCUACUUGUAAUGACCCAGGUAAAUUAACUUUGUGCUGGAAGAGGAUCAACUUCUGAAGAUUGUAAAUGAUAGUGGCCUUAAAAGUAUGUCUGAGACAACUUCAAAUUGUCAUGCAUUCUGGAUUAAAGUCAAAGUGGAAUAUCCUGAAAUUGCCACAAAAAGACAAAAGCCUUGUUCCAUUUCCAACAUUCUGUCUCUGUGAAGCAGGGUUUUCUGUAGUAACAGCAACACAGAUCGGGUAUCAUUGUCUCGCAUCAUCUCAGAUGGGUCCAAUUAGCUGCAAGAAACAAGUUCAGGGCUCCUGUUGAUUCUGCAUUAUGGUGAGUUGUGUAAUUAUUUUAUUAUAAUGCAAUAAUAAUAGAAUUAAAGUUCACAAUAAAUGUAAUGUGCAUGAAUCAUCACCCCCACCCUGGUCCAUGGAAAAACUGUCUUCCACAGAACCAGUAACUAGUGCCAAAAAGUUGGGGACUGCUGAGUUGAAAGGAUGCAAAUUUUAUUGAUCUUUUCCAAGAACCAACUUUUGGUUUCUUUGAUUUUCUAUUCUCUAUUUUGUUUAUAUCUACUGAACUUCAUUAUUCCCUUUCUCCUGCUAGCUUUGAAUUUAAUUUACUUUUCUUUUUAUAAUUCCUUAAUAUGUUAAGUUUUGUAACUGACUUGCAAUCUUUCUUCUUUUUUGUUGUACGCAUUUACAGCUAUAAAUUUCCCUCAUAGCAUUGCUUUUUCUUGCUGCAUUUUCACUGUAUCUCUUAAGGUUUGGCAGGCCUAUUGUGUUUCUGUUUUCAUUCAACUCUAAGACUUUUCCAAUUUCCCUUGUGAUUGCUCCUUUGACCCAUUUGCUGCCUAACAGUGUAUUGUUUAAUUUUUACAUAUUUAUUAACUU